AUUGAACGCUGGUGGCAUGCUUAACACAUGCAAGUCGAACGCGAAAGUCCUUCGGGCGAGUAGAGUGGCGGACGGGUGAGUAACGCGUGGGAAGUCUACCCUAGAGCGGGGACGAACCCGGGGAAACCCGGGCUAAUACCGGCAUACGUCCUACGGGAGAAAGAGGGCCUCUGCUUGCACGCUCUCACUCCAGGAUGAGCCCACGUCCGAUUAGCUAGUUGGUAGGGUAAGGCCUACCAAGGCCACGAUCGGUAGCUGGUCUGAGAGGAUGAUCAGCCACACUGGGACUGAGACACGGCCCAGACUCCUAC
rnacentral:rRNA from 1 species